rnacentral:rRNA from 1 species
AUGAGUUUGCCUUGCUCGGAUCAAAGCAUUAGGCCGAGGAAAAUGAAGAACGCAAGUUUGCCUCCUGGGGUGGCAGUCCUGCGAUGUUGGUGUGGCGAUCUUUGCAAGGUGAAGGAGGUGACGGAUUUUUCAGAUUGGUUGGGCAUGAAGUUUUUCAUGUGCGCCAAUUAUGAGGAAGAUCCUGCCGUAGCUAUUUCAGAGUACGACAAGCCUCCGUCUCCUCCGCCUCUGUGCAUGUACUAUCAUUGGAUUGACACGGAAAAGCCAGCUUGGGCAGUGACUGAGAUUCGUGAAAGAAGUCGCCGUGUGUGGAAUAGUUUAUUUGCGGAAGAGCGACGCGAGAAGGCGGAAGCUGAGGAGAAAGCAGAGCAAGAAAGAGAGUUAAAAGAAUACUAUGCGGAGCAACACCGUUUUUUUGAGGAAAUGGGAAAGAAAAACAGGGAAGAGGCUCGUCGCAUGGAGGAGCAGGAACGACAGCGAAAGGAGGCUCGUGAGGCAGAGAGGCAGAGAAAGAAAGAAAGGGCUCGUCGGGCUAAGGCAACAGAAGAAGCUGGCGAUGGAAAAGGAAAAUAUCCACGCUGGACUUAG